rnacentral:rRNA from 1 species
GAUGAAAUCUUGACAGAACCCUUCGGGGUGAAGAUAAGAUGGAUUAGCGGCGGACGGGUGAGUAACACGUGAGUAACCUGCCUUAGACAUUGGGAUAGCCUCGGGAAACCGGGAUUAAUACCAAAUGAAAUCACAUAUGCACAUGCAUAAAUGAUCAAAGCUCCGGCGGUCUAAGAUGGACUCGCGUCCCAUUAGCUAGUUGGUGAGGUAACGGCCCACCAAGGCGACGAUGGGUAGCCGGCCUGAGAGGGUGAACGGCCACAUUGGAACUGAGAAACGGUCCAAACUCCUACGGGAGGCAGCAGUGGGGAAUAUUGCACAAUGGGCGGAAGCCUGAUGCAGCGACGCCGCGUGGGGGAUGAAGGCCUUCGGGUUGUAAACUCCUUUCGACAGGGACGAAGCGUAAGUGACGGUACCUGUAUAAGAAGCACCGGCUAACUACGUGCCAGCAGCCGCGGUAAUACGUAGGGUGCGAGCGUUGUCCGGAAUUACUGGGCGUAAAGAGCUCGUAGGUGGUUUGUCGCGUCGUCUGUGAAAUUCCGGGGCUUAACUCCGGGCGUGCAGGCGAUACGGGCUGACUUGAGUGCUGUAGGGGAGACUGGAAUUCCUGGUGUAGCGGUGAAAUGCGUAGAUAUUAAAAAGAAUACCGGUGGCGAAGGCGACUUACUGGGCUCAUUCUGACGCUGAGGAACGAAAGCGUGGGUAGCAAACAGGAUUAGAUACCCUGGUAGUCCACGCUGUAAACGAUGAGUGCUAGGUAUCGGAAUAAUUCGGUGCCGCAGUUAACACAUUAAGCACUCCGCCUGGGGAGUACGUGCGCAAGCAUG